GAUGAACGCUGGCGGCGUGCCUAAUACAUGCAAGUCGAGCGAACAGACGAGGAGCUUGCUCCUCUGACGUUAGCGGCGGACGGGUGAGUAACACGUGGAUAACCUACCUAUAAGACUGGGAUAACUUCGGGAAACCGGAGCUAAUACCGGAUAAUAUAUUGAACCGCAUGGUUCAAUAGUGAAAGACGGUUUUGCUGUCACUUAUAGAUGGUUCCGGGCCGCAUUAGCUAGUUGGUAAGGUAACGGCUUACCAAGGCAACGAUGCGUAGCCGACCUGAGAGGGGGAUCGGCCACACUGGAAGUGAGACACGGUCCAGACUCCUACGGGAGGCAGCAGUAGGGAAUCUUCCGCAAUGGGCGAAAGCCUGACGGAGCAACGCCGCGUGAGUGAUGAAGGUCUUCGGAUCGUAAAACUCUGUUAUUAGGGAAGAACAAAUGUGUAAGUAACUAUGCACGUCUUGACGGUACCUGAUCAGAAAGCAACGGCUAACUACGUG
rnacentral:rRNA from 1 species